GGGGGACCAUCCUCCAAGGCUAAAUACUCCUGAUUGACCGAUAGUGAACCAGUACUGUGAAGGAAAGGCGAAAAGAACCCCGGUGAGGGGAGUGAAAUAGAACCUGAAACCUUGUACGUACAAGCAGUGGGAGCCUGAAAGGGUGACUGCGUACCUUUUGUAUAAUGGGUCAGCGACUUAUAUUUUGUAGCGAGGUUAACCGAAUAGGGGAGCCGAAGGGAAACCGAGUCUUAACUGGGCGAGUAGUUGCAAGGUAUAGACCCGAAACCCGGUGAUCUAGCCAUGGGCAGGUUGAAGGUUGGGUAACACUAACUGGAGGACCGAACCGACUAAUGUUGAAAAAUUAGCGGAUGACUUGUGGCUGGGGGUGAAAGGCCAAUCAAACCGGGAGAUAGCUGGUUCUCCCCGAAAUCUAUUUAGGUAGAGCCUUGAGCGGACACCUUCGGGGGUAGAGCACUGUUUCGGCUAGGGGUCCAUCCCGGAUUACCAACCCGAUGCAAACUGCGAAUACCGAAGAGUGAUACUCAGGAGACACACGGCGGGUGCUAACGUUCGUCGUGGAGAGGGAAACAACCCAGACCGCCAGCUAAGGUCCCAAAGUCUAUAUUAAGUGGGAAACGAAGUGGGAAGGCUUAGACAGCUAGGAUGUUGGCUUAGAAGCAGCCAUCAUUUAAAGAAAGCGUAAUAGCUCACUAGUCGAGUCGGCCUGCGCGGAAGAUGUAACGGGGCUGAAAUAUAGCACCGAAGCUGCGGCAUCAGUAGCAAUACUGUUGGGUAGGGGAGCGUUGUGUAAGCGGAAGAAGGUGGCUCGAGAGGGUUGCUGGACGUAUCACAAGUGCGAAUGCUGACAUAAGUAACGAUAAAACGGGUGAAAAACCCGUUCGCCGGAAGACCAAGGGUUCCUGUCCAACGUUAAUCGGGGCAGGGUGAGUCGGCCCCUAAGGCGAGGCUGAAAAGCGUAGUCGAUGGGAAACGGGUUAAUAUUCCCGUACUUGGAUAAACUGCGAUGUGGGGACGGAGCAGGUUAGGUUAGCGUGCUGUUGGAUAUGCACGUUUAAGUUGGUAGGUGGGGAGUUUAGGCAAAUCCGGACUUCCUUAACACUGAGAGAUGAUGACGAGGCUCUACGGAGCUGAAGUAACCGAUACCACACUUCCAGGAAAAGCCACUAAGCUUCAGGUUUAUCUAAACCGUACUGAAAACCGACACAGGUGGUCAGGUAGAGAAUACUCAGGCGCUUGAGAGAACUCGGGUGAAGGAACUAGGCAAAAUAGCACCGUAACUUCGGGAGAAGGUGCGCCGGCGUAGAUUGUAAGGGUUUACCCCUGAAGGUUGAACCGGUCGAAGAUACCAGCUGGCUGCAACUGUUUAUUAAAAACACAGCACUCUGCAAACACGAAAGUGGACGUAUAGGGUGUGAUGCCUGCCCGGUGCUGGAAGGUUAAUUGAUGGUGUUAUCGCAAGAGAAGCUCCUGAUCGAAGCCCCAGUAAACGGCGGCCGUAACUAUAACGGUCCUAAGGUAGCGAAAUUCCUUGUCGGGUAAGUUCCGACCUGCACGAAUGGCAUAAUGAUGGCCAGGCUGUCUCCACCCGAGACUCAGUGAAAUUGAAAUCGCCGUGAAGAUGCGGUGUACCCGCGGCUAGACGGAAAGACCCCGUGAACCUUUACUAUAGCUUGACACUGAACAUUGAAUUUUGAUGUGUAGGAUAGGUGGGAGACUUUGAAGAUGAUACGCCAGUAUUGUUGGAGUCGUCCUUGAAAUACCACCCUUUAACGUUUGAUGUUCUAACGAAGAUUACGAAACGUGGUCUCGGACAGUGUCUGGUGGGUAGUUUGACUGGGGCGGUCUCCUCCCAAAGAGUAACGGAGGAGCACGAAGGUUUGCUAAUCACGGUCGGACAUCGUGAGGUUAGUGCAAUGGUAUAAGCAAGCUUAACUGCGAGACGGACAAGUCGAGCAGGUACGAAAGUAGGUCAUAGUGAUCCGGUGGUUCUGCAUGGAAGGGCCAUCGCUCAACGGAUAAAAGGUACUCCGGGGAUAACAGGCUGAUACCGCCCAAGAGUUCAUAUCGACGGCGGUGUUUGGCACCUCGAUGUCGGCUCAUCACAUCCUGGGGCUGAAGUAGGUCCCAAGGGUAUGGCUGUUCGCCAUUUAAAGUGGUACGCGAGCUGGGUUUAGAACGUCGUGAGACAGUUCGGUCCCUAUCUGCCGUGGGCGUUGGAGAAUUGGUUGGGGCUGCUCCUAGUACGAGAGGACCGGAGUGGACGCACCGCUGGUGUUCCGGUUGUGUCGCCAGACGCAUUGCCGGGUAGCUAAGUGCGGAAGAGAUAAGUGCUGAAAGCAUCUAAGCACGAAACUUGCCAAGAGAUGAGUUCUCCCAGAUUAUAAAUCUGUAAGGGUUGUUUAAGACGAAGACGUAGAUAGGCAUGGUGUGUAAGUGGUGCGAGCCAUUGAGCUAACGUGUACUAAUUGCCCGAGAGGCUUAGCCAUACAACGCUCAAG
rnacentral:rRNA from 1 species